AUUCCACACAGGAAGGUCACACCAUCCCCCACCAUCAUCAGAGUAGAAACCUCGGAGAUUAUAAUAUUGUUGUCAAAAAAGAGUAUAAAGAGGAGGAUGAGGAGUAUGGAGUGAUGGAGGAAUUUUCAGAAGAACACAAGGAUAUGAUGGAGCCACCUAAUACCAGGAACCAGGAAGAUCACACAAUCCCUUACUGUUACAAGGUUGAAGAUCUGAUAGAUAUAAAAGUUGAGGAUAAAGCAGAAAAAGAAGAGAAAUAUGUGAGGAAUGAUCAGCAGUCUAUGGAGGAGGAUGGAAUAACGGGGACAUUUAUAGAG